GAAAAGAAACCAACCGGGAUUGCCUUAGUAACGGCGAGUGAAGCGGCAAAAGCUCAAAUUUGAAAUCUGGUACCUUCGGUGCCCGAGUUGUAAUUUGGAGAGGGCAACUUUGGGGCCGUUCCUUGUCUAUGUUCCUUGGAACAGGACGUCAUAGAGGGUGAGAAUCCCGUGUGGCGAGGAGUGCGGUUCUUUGUAAAGUGCCUUCGAAGAGUCGAGUUGUUUGGGAAUGCAGCUCUAAGUGGGUGGUAAAUUCCAUCUAAAGCUAAAUAUUGGCGAGAGACCGAUAGCGAACAAGUACAGUGAUGGAAAGAUGAAAAGAACUUUGAAAAGAGAGUGAAAAAGUACGUGAAAUUGUUGAAAGGGAAGGGCAUUUGAUCAGACAUGGUGUUUUGUGCCCUCUGCUCCUUGUGGGUAGGGGAAUCUCGCAUUUCACUGGGCCAGCAUCAGUUUUGGUGGCAGGAUAAAUCCAUAGGAAUGUAGCUUGCCUCGGUAAGUAUUAUAGCCUGUGGGAAUACUGCCAGCUGGGACUGAGGACUGCGACGUAAGUCAAGGAUGCUGGCAUAAUGGUUAUAUGCCGCCCG
rnacentral:rRNA from 1 species